rnacentral:rRNA from 1 species
GAUUCCCCUAGUAACUGCGAGUGAAGCGGGAAAAGCUCAAAUUUAAAAUCUGGUAGUCUUUGGCUGCCCGAGUUGUAAUCUAGAGAAGUGUUACCCGUGCUGGACCGUGUAUAAGUCUCCUGGAAUGGAGCGUCAUAGAGGGUGAGAAUCCCGUCUUUGACACGGACUACCAGUACUUUGUGGUGCGCUCUCAAAGAGUCGAGUUGUUUGGGAAUGCAGCUCAAAAUGGGUGGUAAAUUCCAUCUAAAGCUAAAUAUUGGCGAGAGACCGAUAGCGAACAAGUACCGUGAGGGAAAGAUGAAAAGAACUUUGGAAAGAGAGUUAAACAGUACGUGAAAUUGCUGAAAGGGAAACGCUUGAAGUCAGUCGCGUUGGCCGGAAAUCAGCCUUGCUUUUGCUGGGUGUACUUUCUGGUUGACGGGCCAGCAUCAGUUUUGACCGAUGGAAAAAGUUCAAGGGAAUGUGGCAUCUUCGGAUGUGUUAUAGCCCUUGGUCGUAUACAUCGGCUGGGACUGAGGAAUUCAGCACGCCGCAAGGCCGGGUCUUUGACCACGUUCGUGCUUAGGAUGCUGGCAUAAUGGCUUUAAUCGACCCGUCUUGAAACACGGACCAAGGAGUCUAACAUACCUGCGAGUGUUUGGGUGGAAAACCCGAGCGCGUAAUGAAAGUGAAAGUUGGGAUCCCUGNCAUGGGGAGCACCGACGCCCGGACCUGACGUACUCUGACGGAUCUGAGGUAGAACAUGUAUGUUGGGACCCGAAAGAUGGUGNNCUAUGCCUGAAUAGGGUGAAGCCAGAGGAAACUCUGGUGGAGGCCCGUAGC